rnacentral:misc_RNA from 1 species
AAGCGCGGCUUGUGUGAUGGGCGCGCGUCCCCCCGAACUGGGCGGGACGGGCCCGAAAGGCAGUGGCGGCGUCGCGGUCAUCCUCGAUCGCCCGAGUGCAUGGGGCUCAGUCACGCACGACGGCGAGGACCGGCGCCGGCCGAACCCCGCGACACCCCGUGUGUCGCUCUUCGACGGUUGACCUCGGAUCAGGUAGGGAUACCCGCUGAACUUAAGCAUAUCAAUAAGCGGAGGAAAAGAAACCAACAGGGAUUGCCUCAGUAACGGCGAGUGAAGCGGCAAGAGCUCAAAUUUGAAAUCUGGCGCCUCCGGCGUCCGAGUUGUAAUUUGGAGAGGAUGCUUCGGGUGCGGCCGCGGCCUAAGUCCCCUGGAACGGGGCGUCGCAGAGGGUGAGAAUCCCGUCUUUGGUCGCCGGUGCGCGCCCG